GACGUAGGGCGCGAGCGUUGUCCGGAUUUAUUGGGCGUAAAGAGCUCGUAGGCGGCUUGUCGCGUCGUCUGUGAAAUCCCGUGGCUCAACUGCGGGCUGGCAGUCGAUACGGGCAGGCUGGAGUUCGGUAGGGGAGACUGGAACUCCUGGUGUAGCGGUGAAAUGCGCAGAUAUCAGGAGGAACACCGGUGGCGAAGGCGGGUCUCUGGGCCGAUACUGACGCUGAGGAGCGAAAGCGUGGGGAGCGAACAGG
rnacentral:rRNA from 1 species